UGAAUACGAGAUGCUACGGCGUCGAAGCAGUCUAUGUCAUACUUCCAAGAAAAGCUUGCACUGUCAUAAACAAAUAAUGCCUGUACCAUAACCGACACAGGUGGGUAGGUAGAGUAUACUAAGGGGCGCGAGAUAACUCUCUCUAAGGAACUCGGCAAAAUGACUCCGUAACUUCGGGAGAAGGAGUGCCUUAUUUAUAAGGUUGCAAUAACAAGACCCAAGCAACUGUUUAUCAAAAACACAGGUCUCCGCUAAGUCGUAAGACGAUGUAUGGGGGCUGACGCCUGCCCAGUGCCAGAAGGUUAAAGAAGUUGGUUAGCAUUAGCGAAGCUGAUGACUGAAGCCCUGGUGAACGGCGGCCGUAACGAUAACGGUCCUAAGGUAGCGAAAUUCCUUGUCGGGUAAGUUCCGACCCGCACGAAAGGCGUAAUGAUUUGGGUACUGUCUCAGAGAGGGACUCGGUGAAAUAGACUUGUCUGUGAAGAUGCGGACUACCUGCACCUGGACAGAAAGACCCUAUGAAGCUUUACUGUAACCUGAAAUUGAAAUUGGACUUUAUUUGCGCAGUAUAGGUGGGAGGCUUUGAAGAUAUUCUUGCGGGAAUGUUGGAGCCAUCAGUGAGAUACCACUCUUGUAAUGUUAGAUUUCUAACUUUGUAUCAUUAUCUGGUCAAAGAACAGUUUCAGGCGGGCAGUUUGACUGGGGCGGUCGCCUCCUAAACGGUAACGGAGGCGCACAAAGGUUUCCUCUGAACGGGUAGAAAUCGUAUCUAGAGUGUAAAGGCAUAAGGAAGCUUGACUGUGAGACCUACAAGUCGAGCAGGGACGAAAGUCGGUCUUAGUGAUCUGACGGUGCUGAGUGGAAAGGCCGUCACUCAACGGAUAAAAGUUACUCUAAGGAUAACAGGCUGAUCUCCCCCAAGAGUUCACAUCGACGGGGAGGUUUGGCACCUCGAUGUCGGCUCAUCGCAUCCUGGGGCGGUAGUACGUCCCAAGGGUUGGGCUGUUCGCCCAUGAAAGCGGUACGCGAGCUGGGUUCAGAACGUCGUGAGACAGUUCGGUCCAUAUCCGGUGUAGGCGUUAGAAUAUUGAGAGGAGCCUCCUCUAGUACGAGAGGACCGAGAAGGACACACCUCUGGUGUACCAGUUAUCGUGCCAACGGUAAACGCUGGGUAGCUAUGUGUGGAGCGGAUAACCGCUGAAAGCAUCUAAGUGGGAAGCCCACCUCAAGAUAAGUAUUCUCAUC
rnacentral:rRNA from 1 species